ensembl:lncRNA
CCUUUAUGCUCUGCAUCUAUCGAUUGAGUAAGUUACAUUCAUAUAUGUUACCCGUUUACACGUCAUGGCAAAACAUUCAACAUCAGUGACACAAGGGUACAUGUGAUGAUACAUUGUCAACAUUGCAUGUAUGUCAGACUCAAGAGUGUCUGGUGGAAUGGAGAAAGAGGCACCACUGUACAGAUUUCUAGGGAAAGUCGUUCUGCUGACACCAAAACAACCAUUUGUCUUCCUAAAAUACUGGUCCUUCCGUAUAACAAUAACCUUGUAUGUGAUUGGAGGACCCUUAGACUCCUCGUCCAAUCACGUGUGAGGUCAUAGGCAUGACUGAUACAGCAGUACUUGCAAGACGAGCAUACAAACAGACACGUGUGUUACUAUAUUCAGAAGAACUGUAUCUCCAGUUCCUUUGUUUGGUUUUUGCUGGUUCGUGAAUAAUGGCUGGACGACGUCUCGCGUUCAACUCGCCUUCAACUCCUCUCCGCGGUCACCAACUUUCGGCCAGUCCGCAAACAGACGAGAAGAAGCUGCUGAAAGCUCUCAGUGGAUCGUCUCGUCAACUCCAACAACAAACUGCCGAUAUCAACGAGCGGUUCGCUCCACUGGAGCGUUCGGGACUCUGCGGGUUUCUGUCCAUGGAGGAGAGGAACCGACUCAAAGAAGAGGAGACGGGCGCACAAUCCCACGAUAGCGGAAGCGGUGCGCCGUCUUCUCAACUCCGAGACGAACUACAGGCGCCACGAACCAGAGCAAGGACUAAUCUCGCCUCAUAAUGAGGCGGUGACCUCGUAUUUGCUCCGGGAAAAGUCCAGAUUUAGACGACGUCAUUGUGUCCGCCUGUGAGACGUAUUUUGAGACGGGACGCAGGAGCUUCAGGUUCAUGCGGAACACUCAUUGCGAGCGGAAGCUGCGAAGGAUUCAGCGCGGAGUCGAGCGAGAAGAAAGAGGCUGCUGGAAUCGAGACAAAGUGCGCUGGCUGAUGACGAGGUGGAACUCUGGAAAUCCGCCACCGUAGUGCUCACGUCGGGCGGAGAGGACGGCGUUGUUGGCGGGGUCUCGGCGUGGAUUGUACGGUCGCCACACGCACACGAGCCGCCUGCACAACAGACCUGCCUCGGAAAACACGGCGCCAGUGACGGUCUACAACCCCGAGGAGGCAAACGGACAGUUUACGGAGCUGUAGUUUUUAAACCGCCUUUACCCAAGUGUGGGCAGAUCCUCACUUUGUAUGUAGUUGUUGAUUGUGUGUUGUUAAUAAAGCUCUUUCUUUGCA